rnacentral:rRNA from 1 species
GACGAACGCUGGCGGCGUGCUUAACACAUGCAAGUCGAACGGUGAAGCGCCUUCCUUUUUGGUGGGUGUGGAUGAGUGGCGAACGGGUGAGUAACACGUGAGCCACCCGAUCCCUCCUUCUGGAUAACCGCAUGAAAGUGUUGCUAAUACGGGAUAUUCUGGGCCUGUCGCAUGAUGGGUCUGGGACAGAUAUUCUUUCGGUGGGGGAUGGGUUCGCGCCUUAUCAGCUUGUUGGUGUGGUGAUGGCCUACCAAGGCGAUGACGGGUAGCCGGCCUGAGAGGAUCGGCGGCCACACAGGGACGACGCGGCCGCCCAUCCUCCUGCGGGCGGCAGCAGUGGGUAUUAUUGAACGAUGGGAGGCAGGCUGGUGCAGCGCCGCCUGGUGGGGGAUGGUCUCCGGCUGGUAGUGAUCCUCUUUCGGCAGUGAAGCAGUCUUGCCUCGUCUGUGGGUAGGUUGACGGUAGCUAGAUAGAAAGCGCCGGCUAACUACGUG